rnacentral:siRNA from 1 species
AGUAGUGUUAAAUGGUGACACAUA